UCAGGUGGCCGCAGAGAAUAGGCCCAAGCGACUGUUUACCAAAAACAUAGGUUUCUGCUAAGUCGCAAGACGAUGUAUAGGAGCUGACGCCUGCCCGGUGCUGGAAGGUUAAGGGGAUCUGUUAGAGCAAUCGAAGCAGUGAACUUAAGCCCCAGUAAACGGCGGCCGUAACUAUAACGGUCCUAAGGUAGCGAAAUUCCUUGUCGGGUAAGUUCCGACCCGCACGAAAGGCGUAACGAUUUGGGCACUGUCUCAACAACAGACUCGGUGAAAUUGUAAUUCCGGUGAAGAUGCCGGAUACCUGCGACAGGACGGAAAGACCCCAUGGAGCUUUACUGUAGCUUGACAUUGGGUCUUGGUACUACAUGUACAGGAUAGGUGGGAGGCUUUGAAACCAGGACGCCAGUUUUGGCGGAGCCAUCCUUGGGAUACCACCCUUGUAGUACUGGGACUCUAACCAUAGGCCAUGAAUCUGGUCUUGGGACACUGUCAGGUGGGCAGUUUGACUGGGGCGGUCGCCUCCCAAAAGGUAACGGAGGCGC
rnacentral:rRNA from 1 species